rnacentral:rRNA from 1 species
UACGAAGGGUGCAAGCGUUACUCGGAAUUACUGGGCGUAAAGCGUGCGUAGGUGGUUUGUUAAGUCUGUUGUGAAAGCCCCGGGCUCAACCUGGGAAUGGCAAUGGAUACUGGCAGGCUAGAGUGCGGUAGAGGGUAGUGGAAUUCCCGGUGUAGCGGUGAAAUGCGUAGAGAUCGGGAGGAACACCAGUGGCGAAGGCGGCUACCUGGACCAGCACUGACACUGAGGCACGAAAGCUAGGGGAGCGAACAGG